UACAGAGGUCCCGAGCGUUGUUCGGAUUCACUGGGCGUAAAGGGUGCGUAGGUGGUGAGGUAAGUCGGAUGUGAAAUCUCCGGGCUCAACCCGGAAAUGGCAUUGGAAACUACCUUGCUGGAGGAUUUGAGGGGGGAUUGGAAUACUUGGUGUAGCAGUGAAAUGCGUAGAUAUCGGGAGGAACACCAGUGGCGAAGGCGGUUGCCUGGAGCUUUGCUGACGCUGAGGCGCGAAAGCGUGGGGAGCGAUCCGG
rnacentral:rRNA from 1 species